rnacentral:rRNA from 1 species
GCUGGUGUUUUAAGCGAGGUGGAACCACCUGGUCUCCCGACGCAAGUUGGGACCAUUCCGAACCCAGAAGUUAAACGCCCCAGCGCCGAUGGUACCUCGACGUUACGUCGGGGGAGAGUAGGCCAAUGCCAGCG